UACGAAGGGGGCUAGCGUUGCUCGGAAUCACUGGGCGUAAAGGGCGCGUAGGCGGCCAGUUCAAGUCAGUUGUGAAAUCUCCGAGCUUAACUCGGAAAGGUCAACUGAUACUGCUCGGCUAGAGUGCGGAAGGGGCAACUGGAAUUCUUGGUGUAGCGGUGAAAUGCGUAGAUAUCAAGAGGAACACCUGCGGCGAAGGCGGGUUGCUGGGCCGACACUGACGCUGAUGCGCGAAAGCUAGGGGAGCGAACGGG
rnacentral:rRNA from 1 species